CUCUGUUCUGUUCGGCCUUCCCUCUCUACAGUCCUUUCUUUGACUUCGCUCCCUAGAAGCAUGAACUGCGAUGAGCACUCCCUUCCUGCCUUUGCUUGUACUGUCUUCUACCCCUGAAACUGCACUCCUGACCCUUUGGCUUUAGGAUACCUGUACAACUCGUUUUUCCAGACAUUCACGAGUCACCUCCAAAUGCUUUCUCGAUCUGACGAUUAUGUGUCUUGGGGUUGAUCUUGUCAUGGAGUAUCUUACUGGAGUUGUCUGGAUUUCCUGAAUUUAAAUGUUGCCCUAUCUUGUUAGGUUGGGGAACUUCUCCUGGAUGAUGUCCUGAAGUAUGUUUUCUCCAAAGGCAUGAGCUCCUCAAAGUUCAGGAAGCAAGUCCAAGACUUCACCCUUGAUCUUUUUCCACAGCCCUAUGGGGUGAAUAGAAGCAGACAUUAGAUACAGCUCACACAUGGAGAAACUGAAGUACACUCCAUCAUUUCUGAGCAGGAGGAAUAGCUCAGAGCCCCCCAGAACUCCUCUUCAGACCUCCUAUUUAAUGGUACCUUGGGGAAGGGGCUGGUUCUCUGUGGCUUCGGCAAAUCUUACUACAAAGCCUUGUGCCCCUCGGAAGGUAACCAUGGAUACUAUUGAGCUGGCACAAAAGCCUUCAGUUAGUGGAGACUACAAGUGGUUUUCAGGGGCUGAAGGAAUUUUCAGGAAAGGGGCAAAACGUGGAAACACUUGCAGAGGGAAGACCUUUGCCUCAGGCCCCUUGGCUGGGUGUGUUUCAGUUAAGAUGGGCACUUAUGCUCAGAGGAGCACUGGAGCAGUGACAGGGCUCUAAUCUGGGACUGGGAUAGUAAGUAGCUGUGAGGUGAGAAUCAAAGGGAAUCCCAGGCGCUUUUUUUUUCUUGGAAAGCUGGGACCCUGCUGUGAAAUCUGGAGCGGGGUUGUUGGGGGGUUGAGGUGCUGACCAAAGCGAUGCCAGCAGCAACCCAGUCUCCUGAGUGACCCAGGCCAGGGUCUGGAAACAACGGGGUGUCCUGGCAACAGUCAGGGGGAGCUUCCAGCAGGGCGAAGUCCCUAUCCUCAUCUCUGCCCUCGGGGGUGUUUUUCUCCUUUCGGCCCAGGGCUACAGGCAGGAGAAAUUCACACCUGGAAUAUCUCGAGGAGGCGCCUUAUUUCCUCUGAGCCCUUGCUGAGUGUCGAGAGGCAGCUCAUGUCCCUCCUCCGACCCCAAGAGUCCACAGUCUUCCCUCACACCCCUUUAUUCUCGGACGAGGCCCGUGUGGUGAGCGGGAACCCCUGCUGUCCCCUGGACCAGCGCGGAGCUGGGCCCUAACUUUGCAGUUCCCGCCGCAUCGGCACGCACCCGCGAGGUGGGAGCGGGAAGCCCAGCCGCAUUAGAGGCUCAAUUCCGGCAGGUGCAGAGUGGGUGCGGGUCAAGGCCAAUGAGAGUGUGUGUGGCCAAGCCCGCUGGUUUCCUGAACCGAAAUUCUCCGGGGAGGGAGAGAAGAGGAGGGUGCGGGAGACGGACUUGGAGGCGAGAGGUGGCGGCAGUUUCCAGGAGCUUUGACGUAGACUUGGAGAGGCGCCGAGCACUCCCACUGCUUAAGUAGAGGCACGGUAGCCUCCAGGACGCGGAAGCUGGGGACAGCCACUCGCUCGGGAGCAGCCUGAGCGUUUCCUCUCCGCGUACUCGAGGGAACUCUCUCCACGCGUUCGAGGGAACCCGGAAGGGGCCAGGCGGGUACAUAUUCUCAGCUCCUAAGGACCUCCUUCCUAAAGAAGAAAGAGUUGAUUGAAGAUUUGAUAAGCAUGCAUGUGCGUAGGAGUGGGUCUAGUGUCAUUGGAAAAGUGAACCUGGAAAUAAAGAGAAAAUAAAUUGAACUCGGAGCUAAUUCAUGCCUUGGAAUUAAAUAUACAUAUAUAUAACAUUUUUCUUAACUAUUGAUUAUUUAUUUAUUUUAAAUGGUGGGAAUGCCCAGAGAUAAAUAUGAACCCAAAUUCUCUCAGUAUACUAAUUUAAAGCUGCCUUCUAUUAUUUAUUUAUUUAUUUUAGGCUGCUAGCAUGUUUCUUCUAAUGGUGACAUUACUGCCAGUCUAUCCCACAGUCUAAAGGAGUUAAAUAACUUCCAGAGAUGACUUGAGGAUUCUUUGUAUUCAUUUAAUAGUUCAUUUUGGGAUGCUUGACAUGUUAAUAAACUAGUGUGCCAUACAUUUAACUUGAAUACACUGCAUGGCUUCCAAGACUUCAACCACUGGAUUGCUUAUGCACAGGCACAUAAGGGACUACAUUUUGGAAUUACUAGUUACUGACAAUCUAUGAUAUCUGAAUCUUGUUUGACAGCAUAUUUUUGAAUACUGAAUGAAGCAAAAAGUAAAACAAAACAAAAAACUGGCAAAUAAAGCAUUCUUCUAAUGAAAACAAAAUUAAUAAAAGCUCUGGACCCCAGGUAAUGUUAUUGGAGUCUCUUUAUUUCAAUAUUUAAUGUUAUCACUAAUGACAUCCAAACUCUAAUAAAAUAAUGUUUAAGUGUAAAUAGGUACAAAUUAUUUCCCAAUAAGCAUAUUUGUUAUUUGAUUAAAUAUUAUAACUCUAUAAGUGGUUACACUUUGCAUUGAAAAACAAAAUAAAGCGAACAGCAUUAUAAGAGAAGAACCCAUAAAUAAUUAUUUUCCUGAAAAAUGACCAGGCCCGAACAAGGUUUAUAGCAGAGAAGUCCAAUUAGCAAAUGUAUUUGAGUUAGAGACACAAUGCUAUUUUUAUCUCUAAUUAUUCCCAACUCUCCAAUCAUUCUAUUAUAACCAAUAUGUAGGAUUGACAGCCAGUUUGAAUUUCAGAUAUGUUAGCAAUUCCCUUGCUUUUUUCAGGUCCAAAGGAAGCCUCAGUAAAUCUUUUCAUUGAAGGAUUAGGGCCCUCCUUAAACUAGAAAUUGCAUCUAAAGGGUUAUUAUCAGAAAACAGUUUCAUUUGAGGAUUAGUUGAGUCUUCACAACAAGAAAAGGAAGCUUGGGGAAAGAGGUGGGGGAGAAGGCCCAGCCUCAGCUUUUGGCUCCUUGGGAAAAUUAGUAUUUUAUUAAAAAGUUGCCACCCUUUGACUACUUUUUCAACAUACAGGCUCAUGAUUUUGCAUUGAUGGUGCUUUUUCUAACGUUUUUCAUCAUAUUCUUCAAAACUAUCACGUAAAUUCACUAUCUCUUAUAAAUCAUCAAAGAGAAACUACACUUGGAGAAUGAGCUUGCAGAAGAGCCUGCCCUUUGUUCUUCCCUCACCUUGGUACUCCACAACGGGGAUUGGCAAUCUUUUUCUGUAGAGUCUGAUAGUAAAUAUUAUAGGCUUUCUGGGCCAUCCAGUCUCUGCUGUAACUAAUCAAUUCGGCCUCGGCGGAACAAAAGCAGUUAUCACAAUACAUAACUGAGUGAAUAUGGUUGUGUUCCAAUAAAACUCUGUUUAUGGACACUGAAAUCAGAGUCCAUACACUUUUCAGGUGCCACAGAAUAUUUUUCUUUGGACUUUUUCAAUUUUUUAAAAAGAUAUAAUAACCACACUUAGCUCAUAGCCUGUUCAAAACAGGGAGCAAGCCGAAUUUGGCCCAGGGACUGCAGCUUGCUGAUGAAGCUUACCAAAAGUGUAAGGAACAAACUGGGAUGAAGUGAAAAGAAGAGUAACUAUGCUAAGCAACAAAACUAAAACCAACAGUUU
rnacentral:lncRNA from 1 species